rnacentral:rRNA from 1 species
GACGAACGCUGGCGGCGUGCCUAAUACAUGCAAGUCGAACGCUUUUUCUUUCACCGGAGCUUGCUCCACCGAAAGAAAAGAAGUGGCGAACGGGUGAGUAACACGUGGGUAACCUGCCCAUCAGAAGGGGAUAACACUUGGAAACAGGUGCUAAUACCGUAUAACAAUCGAAACCGCAUGGUUUCGGUUUGAAAGGCGCUUUUGCGUCACUGAUGGAUGGACCCGCGGUGCAUUAGCUAGUUGGUGAGGUAACGGCUCACCAAGGCAACGAUGCAUAGCCGACCUGAGAGGGUGAUCGGCCACAUUGGGACUGAGACACGGCCCAAACUCCUACGGGAGGCAGCAGUAGGGAAUCUUCGGCAAUGGACGAAAGUCUGACCGAGCAACGCCGCGUGAGUGAAGAAGGUUUUCGGAUCGUAAAACUCUGUUGUUAGAGAAGAACAAGGAUGAGAGUAAAAUGUUCAUCCCUUGACGGUAUCUAACCAGAAAGCCACGGCUAACUACGUGCCAGCAGCCGCGGUAAUACGUAGGUGGCAAGCGUUGUCCGGAUUUAUUGGGCGUAAAGCGAGCGCAGGCGGUUUCUUAAGUCUGAUGUGAAAGCCCCCGGCUCAACCGGGGAGGGUCAUUGGAAACUGGGAAACUUGAGUGCAGAAGAGGAGAGUGGAAUUCCAUGUGUAGCGGUGAAAUGCGUAGAUAUAUGGAGGAACACCAGUGGCGAAGGCGGCUCUCUGG